AUUGAACGCUGGCGGCAGGCCUAACACAUGCAAGUCGAACAGUAACAGGAAGAAGCUUGCUUCUUUGCUGACGAGUGGCGGACGGGUGAGUAAUGUCUGGGAAACUGCCUGAUGGAGGGGGAUAACUACUGGAAACGGUAGCUAAUACCGCAUAACGUCGCAAGACCAAAAAGGGGGACCUUCGGGCCUCUUGCCAUCGGAUGUGCCCAGAUGGGAUUAGCUAGUAGGUGGGGUAACGGCUCACCUAGGCGACGAUCCCUAGCUGGUCUGAGAGGAUGACCAGCCACACUGGAACUGAGACACGGUCCAGACUCCUACGGGAGGCAGCAGUGGGGAAUAUUGCACAAUGGGCGCAAGCCUGAUGCAGCCAUGCCGCGUGUAUGAAGAAGGCCUUCGGGUUGUAAAGUACUUUCAGCGGGGAGGAAGGGAGUAAAGUUAAUACCUUUGCUCAUUGACGUUACCCGCAGAAGAAGCACCGGCUAACUCCGUG
rnacentral:rRNA from 1 species